AUGGACCAAAUGGAAGUGGAUCAGCCACAACCACACCAUCAAAGUGAGAAACAAAUAUUCCAUAGAUGCGUGACAGAUAAAACCAGAGACUUUCGUGCUAAAAGCUAUGGUACUCUUAUUCAGCCCUAUGAGUUUAGUUGUUCUCAAAAUGGAGUACUUGGAGAAAAACAUGGUUUUAUACAUUAUUCAAAUAAAGCAAUAGCUUUUGCUGGGAAUCCGGAAGAAGGAUUUCAUUCAACAGAAGUGCAGAAACUAGCAGCUACUUUCUUAGUUGAGAAUGAAUUGCCCUUUAAUCAGCUAGACUCAAUUGGGCUGAACCCAGAAAUUGAUAUAGGGAUUGUUAAGACCCAUGGUGUCGCCUAUAAUAGGGAGAUUGCAAGAACUGUGACAGCUUAUGCUCACAUCCCCCAAAGUGUAGACUCCUGGUUAAAUUCAUUAAGUAUUCAAGGUUCCGUUGACGUUCCCACAAUUUUAAAAGAUAGUAUUAGGGAUUUGUAUGACCUACUUGAGAGGUUAUGGGACAAAAACAUGACAGUAGAUGAUGUGCACCUUAGUGGAACUUAUGGUCUCAAUGGCGACAUGAUGCAAAUUAAGCCAUCCCAUGUUCGUGUAAGGAAUCUUGGUGAUGCUAGGCGGCCUUCGCAAGGUUUGGCAGACAUGAUAUUCCACAAUAUUCUGAACCGCUGGACAAAUGAUGUUGAACUAAGUCACUUUCAUCAAUUCCUCCUUAAUACAAAUAUAUGCAAAGAAGAUGUCCUCAAUCAUCCAUUCCUAGGAGGCUCCGGUGCUAGGGAGGGCAUGUACAAGGAAUUGUUUAGAAGAAAUUUUACCCAACGUCAAAAAGAUUGGUUGCAGAACAACAUUAACACACAAGGGUGGCAAGUCCGAGUUGAUCCUGCUGAUCCAAAUACAGAUUUUGGUUUUAGAGAGAUUAUGAUUUUUCAGAAAAUUAAUAAGUGGGCCCAAGCGUUUGAGCCAAAUACUUGGGGUGCCUUACACUUUGCAAAAAUAGCCGUAUCCCAUUAUCACGAGCAUGAUCCUGUCGGGCGUCCCCAGCUUGAUGCUAAGCUCAAGGAUCUUCUACCUGGACUACUUGUUGGAGUAUAUGGUGCAACGUUUAAUCCGGACUUUGUAAAAGGUCCCGGAUGA
rnacentral:rRNA from 1 species